rnacentral:lncRNA from 1 species
AUGAAGGUCGCAGUGUCCAGAGGGGGCGACCACAACAGUGACGGCGACAGCUUCCGAGAAGCCACCAGCUCCCGGAGGAGCAGUUCUCGGGACCAACUCAGUGAUAGCUCGGCGCAGGCAGUCUCAGGCAGAGGUUACUCCUGUGACAGCGAGAGCGACGGGGAUGACAAGGCAUCUGUGGGCUCCGAGAAGCUCUUUGCCCCAGCAGCCGAUAAAGGCCCCACGCUGGGCGAGAAGUCCGAGGCCAAGACCGGGGCAGCGCCCAAGGUCUCGGGUCUCGAGCGCAGCCGCGAGCUGAGCACCGAGCCGCCCUUCUUGGCCCCCGUGCGCAGCCCCGCGCCGGUCUUGCCCUCCGCCAGCACCGCGGCCAGCCCGCUGGUCAAGAAGGAAGCCCCGGCGCUGCCCCGCCUUGCCCCGCAGCUGCCACCCGCGCCCUCGCAGCCCCGGGCCCCGCUCCUGACGCACGUGCCUCUCCCUCCGGGCGCCUUCCCGGGCCCCGGCCCGGCCGCGCACAACGGCCUGCACAGCCUCAGGCCCAGCACCAGCACCACGCGGCGGCCAUGUUCGCCGCGCCCCCGACACUGCCCCCGCCCCCGGCGCUGCCGGCCAACAGCCUGGUCAUCCCAGGACACCCCGCCGUUUGACAAGUACACGCCCAAGCUGGACAGCCCCUACUUCCGACAUUCCAACGUGUCUGACCCGUACCGGACAGCAAUCAGGAUGCAGCUGGAGCCCCACAAGCUGGACGUGGGCACCAAGCUGGACUUAUUCAGCAGACCCCCCGCCCCGGGCGUGUUCGCCGGAUUCCACUACCCACAGGACCUGGCCCGGCCCCUCUUCUCCAGCUCGGGUGCCACCCAUCCUGCCGCCAACCCGUUCGGACCCUCAGCGCAUCCUGGCAGCUUCCUGCCCACUGGUCACUUGACAGACCCUUUCAGCAGAUCAAGCACCUUCGGGGGCCUGGGGAGCCUAGGCAGCAACGCUUUUGGAGGCCUCGGCAGCCACGCGCUGACUCCCAGCAGCGGCGGCAUCUUUGCCCCCAAGGAGGGCCCCACACUGCACGGUCUGCCCAGCCCCCACGAGGCCUGGAACCGGCUGCACCGAGCACCACCCUCCUUCCCCACGCCACCCCCAUGGCCCAAGCCCUUAGACGCCGAGCGGGUCUCAGCCCUGACCAACCACGACCGAGAGCUGGACAAGGGCAAGGAGGAGCGGGACCGGGACCUCCUGGAAAAGACACGCCUGCUGAGCCGGGCCUCUCCAGCGGCGCCCGUGGGCCACCCAGGCAGUGGCCUCGUGCUCCGGGGCCAGGGCGAUCCGGGCCGGCCCGGGAUCCCUGCCGAACGCGAGGCUGAGCUCCGCAUCAAGGAGAGCCGCUCCCCGGCCAGGGAGGACGGCCCCAAGCCCAGCAAGAUGGCCCUGGGGGAAGGCCUGCGCCUGGCCGGUCUCCUGGGCCGCGAGCCCGGGAAGCCGCACGAGGCGCCGGCCGAGCGGUCCCAGGGCGACGUGAAGGUCAAGGAGGAGCGCGGGGAGGACGGAGACGCGCCCCCACAGCCCGGCCCGGGCCCCGCGGGCCGCGAGCGCCCGGCCUUCGCGUGGGAGCCACCGCGCGACGCCUACCGCGGCCCGGAGCUGCCCCGCCGCGCCCCGCCGGGCCCGGGCCCCGCCGCCCUCCUCGAGCCGCCCGAGCGCCCCUACCGGGACCGCGAGCCGCACGACUACAGCCCCGAGCGCCUGCGGGAGGCGCGCCGCGACGAGCUAGAGCGCGCCCGGGCCGCGCACCUGGACGGCGCGGCGCUGCUGCCGGCGCUGGGCGCCCUGCACUACCCGCGCCUCGCGCCCGCCGCCGCCGCCCUGCACAACAGUCUCCUGGCGCGGACCCCGCCCGCCGCCGCCGCGCUCGGCGCGCCGCCGCCGCUGGUGGCCGCAGGCGGGCCCCCCACGCCCCCCGGGCAGCCGCGGAGCAGGACUACGCCGCUGGGGGCCCGCGCGCCGGGUGAGGCCCGCGACUACUCCCCGUCCCGCAACCCCCAGGAGGUAGAGGCGCGGUAG